UCCACUUGCCAGGGUUUAAUCAUCCAAUACCAAGAGGUUUUCUUGGCAUUCUGUAUUGUGGUUGGUCAGUGGGCGUCUCCUCUGUAGAUAUAUGCCCUGGUACGUGAUUUAGCAGUGCCAGUGCACGAGGAGUGUGCCCGUGAAUGACUGGGUGUGUACGCUGUGUCCUACGUGGCUGACCAGGAUAUAAUUCUUUGUUUACCAGAAUAAAUCCGACAAGAUUGAGAAGCAAGUGUGAAGUCUUCAAUUAUACACAACGCAGAGAUCACAUCGGUUACAAUGGUGCCGUGACCGUGCUUCUGGAAUC